ACAGUCAGUCGGCAGACGGGUGAGUAACGCGUGGGAACGUACCUUUUGGUUCGGAACAACCCAGGGAGACUUGGGCUAAUACGCGGAUAAGCCCUUACGGGGAGAGAUUGAUCGCCGAAAGAUCGUGCCCUGCGUCUGCUUAGCUAAUUGGUGAGGUAAUGGCUCAUCAAGGCGACGAUCAGUAGCUGGUCUGAGAGGAUGAGUCAGCCAGCGUGGGACUGAGACACGGACCAAACUCAUACGGGAGGCAGCAGUGGGGAAUAUUGGACAAUGGGGGCAACCCUGAUCCAGCCAUGCCGCGUGAGUGAUGAAGGCCCUAGGGCUUGUAAAAGCUCUUUUGUGCGGGAAGAUAAUGACGGUACCGCAAG
rnacentral:rRNA from 1 species